rnacentral:rRNA from 1 species
GUUGAACGCUGGCGGCAUGCCUAACACAUGCAAGUCGAGCGGAUGAAGGGAGCUUGCUCCUGGAUUCAGCGGCGGACGGGUGUGUAAUGCCUAUGAAUCUGCCUGGUAGGGGUUGAUAACGUCCGGAAACGGGCGCUAAUACCGCAUACGUCCUGAGCGAGAAGGUGGGGGAUCUUCGGACCUCUCGCUCUCAGAUGAGCCUAGGUCGGAUUAGCUAGUUGGUGGGGUAAAGGCCUACCAAGGCGACGAUCCGUAACUGGUCUGAGAGGAUGAUCAGUCACAGUGGAAGUGAGAGACGGGACAGAAUCCUACGGGAGGCAGCAGCGGGGAAUAUUGGACAAUGGGCGAAAGCCUGAUCAAGCCAUGGCGCGUGUGUGAAGAAGGUCUUCGGAUUGUAAAGCACUUUAAGUUGGGAGGAAGGGCAGUAAGUUAAUACAUUGCUGUUUGGACGUUACCAACAGAAUAAGCACCGGCUAACUUGGU